UAGGGAAUCUUCCACAAUGGACGCAAGUCUGAUGGAGCAACGCCGCGUGAGUGAAGAAGGUUUUCGGAUCGUAAAGCUCUGUUGUUGGUGAAGAAGGAUAGAGGUAGUAACUGGCCUUUAUUUGACGGUGAUCAACCAGAAAGUCACGGCUAACUACGUGCCAGCAGCCGCGGUAAUACGUAGGUGGCAAGCGUUGUCCGGAUUUAUUGGGCGUAAAGCGAGCGCAGGCGGAAGAAUAAGUCUGAUGUGAAAGCCCUCGGCUUAACCGAGGAACUGCAUCGGAAACUGUUUUUCUUGAGUGCAGAAGAGGAGAGUGGAAUUCCAUGUGUAGCGGUGGAAUGCGUAGAUAUAUGGAAGAACACCAGUGGCGAAGGCGACUCUCUGGUCUGCAACUGACGCUGAGGCUCGAAAGCAUGGGUAGAGAACAGG
rnacentral:rRNA from 1 species